rnacentral:rRNA from 1 species
AUUGAACGCUGGCGGCAGGCCUUACACAUGCAAGUCGAACGAGUGGCGGACGGGUGAGUAAUGUCUGGGCAACUGCCCGAUGGAGGGGGAUAACUACUGGAAACGGUAGCUCAUACCGCAUACCAUCGGAUGUGCCCCGAUCGGAUUAGCACGUAGGUGGGGUAACGGCUCACCUAGGCGACGAUCCCUAGCUGGUCUGAGAGUAUGACCAGCCACACGGGAACUGAGACACGGUCCAGACUCCUACGGGAGGCAGCAGUGGGGAAUAUUGCACAAUGGGCGAAAGCCUGAUGCAGCCAUGCCGCGUGUAUGAAGAAGGCCUUCGGGUUGUAAAGUACUUUCGGCGAGGAGGCGGUAUUCGCAGAAUAAGCACCGGCUAACUCCGUGCCAGCAGCCGCGGUAAUUC